rnacentral:rRNA from 1 species
AUUGAACGCUGGCGGCAUGCCUUACACAUGCAAGUCGAACGGCAGCACGGGAGCUUGCUCCUGGUGGCGAGUGGCGAACGGGUGAGUAAUACAUCGGAACGUACCCUGAAGUGGGGGAUAACGUAGCGAAAGUUACGCUAAUACCGCAUAUUCUGUGAGCAGGAAAGCAGGGGAUCUUCGGACCUUGCGCUUUUGGAGCGGCCGAUGUCGGAUUAGCUAGUUGGUGGGGUAAAGGCCCACCAAGGCGACGAUCCGUAGCGGGUCUGAGAGGAUGAUCCGCCACACUGGAACUGAGACACGGUCCAGACUCCUACGGGAGGCAGCAGUGGGGAAUUUUGGGACAAUGGGCGCAAGCCUGAUCCAGCCAUGCCGCGUGAGUGAAGAAGGCCU